rnacentral:snRNA from 1 species
GUGCUCGCUUCAGCAGCACAUGUACUAAAACCGGAACCAUACAGAGAAGACUAGAAUGGCUCCUGCACAAGGAUGACAGACACACACAUUUAUGAAGUGCCCCAUAUUAAA